AUUGAACGCUGGCGGCAUGCCUUACACAUGCAAGUCGAACGGCAGCACGGGUGCUUGCACCUGGUGGCGAGUGGCGAACGGGUGAGUAAUGCAUCGGAACGUACCCGGAAGUGGGGGAUAACGUAGCGAAAGUUACGCUAAUACCGCAUAUUCUGUGAGCAGGAAAGAGGGGGAUCGCAAGACCUCUCGCUUUCGGAGCGGCCGAUGUCGGAUUAGCUAGUUGGCGGGGUAAGAGCCCACCAAGGCGACGAUCCGUAGCGGGUCUGAGAGGAUGAACCGCCACACUGGGACUGAGACACGGCCCAGACUCCCACGGGAGGCAGCAGUGGGGAAUUUUGGACAAUGGGCGCAAGCCUGAUCCAGCCAUGCCGCGUGAGUGAAGAAGGCCUUCGGGUUGUAAAGCUCUUUCGGCUGGGAAGAAAUCGCAUCUCCUAAUACGGGGUGCGGAUGACGGUACCAGCAUAAGAAGCACCGGCUAACUACGUGCCAGCCGCCGCCGUAACAC
rnacentral:rRNA from 1 species